UUAAAUUGAAGAGUUUGAUCAUGGCUCAGAUUGAACGCUGGCGGCAGGCCUAACACAUGCAAGUCGAACGGUAACAGGAAGCAGCUUGCUGCUUUGCUGACGAGUGGCGGACGGGUGAGUAAUGUCUGGGAAACUGCCUGAUGGAGGGGGAUAACUACUGGAAACGGUGGCUAAUACCGCAUAAUGUCGCAAGACCAAAGAGGGGGACCUUCGGGCCUCUUGCCAUCAGAUGUGCCCAGAUGGGAUUAGCUUGUUGGUGAGGUAACGGCUCACCAAGGCGACGAUCCCUAGCUGGUCUGAGAGGAUGACCAGCCACACUGGAACUGAGACACGGUCCAGACUCCUACGGGAGGCAGCAGUGGGGAAUAUUGCACAAUGGGCGCAAGCCUGAUGCAGCCAUGCCGCGUGUAUGAAGAAGGCCUUCGGGUUGUAAAGUACUUUCAGCGGGGAGGAAGGUGUUGUGGUUAAUAACCACAGCAAUUGACGUUACCCGCAGAAGAAGCACCGGCUAACUCCGUGCCAGCAGCCGCGGUAAUACGGAGGGUGCAAGCGUUAAUCGGAAUUACUGGGCGUAAAGCGCACGCAGGCGGUCUGUCAAGUCGGAUGUGAAAUCCCCGGGCUCAACCUGGGAACUGCAUUCGAAACUGGCAGGCUUGAGUCUUGUAGAGGGGGGUAGAAUUCCAGGUGUAGCGGUGAAAUGCGUAGAGAUCUGGAGGAAUACCGGUGGCGAAGGCGGCCCCCUGGACAAAGACUGACGCUCAGGUGCGAAAGCGUGGGGAGCAAACAGGAUUAGAUACCCUGGUAGUCCACGCCGUAAACGAUGUCUACUUGGAGGUUGUGCCCUUGAGGCGUGGCUUCCGGAGCUAACGCGUUAAGUAGACCGCCUGGGGAGUACGGCCGCAAGGUUAAAACUCAAAUGAAUUGACGGGGGCCCGCACAAGCGGUGGAGCAUGUGGUUUAAUUCGAUGCAACGCGAAGAACCUUACCUGGUCUUGACAUCCACGGAACUUUCCAGAGAUGGAUUGGUGCCUUCGGGAACCGUGAGACAGGUGCUGCAUGGCUGUCGUCAGCUCGUGUUGUGAAAUGUUGGGUUAAGUCCCGCAACGAGCGCAACCCUUAUCCUUUGUUGCCAGCGGUCCGGCCGGGAACUCAAAGGAGACUGCCAGUGAUAAACUGGAGGAAGGUGGGGAUGACGUCAAGUCAUCAUGGCCCUUACGACCAGGGCUACACACGUGCUACAAUGGCGCAUACAAAGAGAAGCGACCUCGCGAGAGCAAGCGGACCUCAUAAAGUGCGUCGUAGUCCGGAUUGGAGUCUGCAACUCGACUCCAUGAAGUCGGAAUCGCUAGUAAUCGUGGAUCAGAAUGCCACGGUGAAUACGUUCCCGGGCCUUGUACACACCGCCCGUCACACCAUGGGAGUGGGUUGCAAAAGAAGUAGGUAGCUUAACCUUCGGGAGGGCGCUUACCACUUUGUGAUUCAUGACUGGGGUGAAGUCGUAACAAGGUAACCGUAGGGGAACCUGCGGUUGGAUCACCUCCUUACCUUAAAGAA
rnacentral:rRNA from 1 species